rnacentral:lncRNA from 1 species
AUCAAAUUUAUUAAAAUAUGCUGUCCAAAAUAAUCUUUUGCAUGCUUAUCAACCUAUUAGAGGUGAUCUGAUGGUUUCAUAUUUACUUUUUGCUGAUGUUAAUCAGCAAAGCUAUAGUUAAAGAUGUUGCAUGUCUUAAAGCAAUAAUUGAUGCCUACUAUUUAAUCUCUGGUCAAGCAAUCAAUCUAUCUAAAUCAUAAUUAAUGAUAAGCCCAAGAACUUCUACUCACAUUAAAAACCACAUUAGAAAAUUAUUUCAGAUCAAUAUGUCUAUCUGAUGGAGUUUGAAAGUAUUUUGAUGUUCCUAUUGCAGGUAAAUCGCUGAGC